AGUGAACGCUGGCGGUAGGCCUAACACAUGCAAGUCGAACGGCAGCACAGUAAGAGCUUGCUCUUACGGGUGGCGAGUGGCGGACGGGUGAGGAAUACAUCGGAAUCUACUUUUUCGUGGGGGAUAAGGUAGGGAAACUUACGCUAAUACCGCAUACGACCUCCGGGUGAAAGCAGGGGAUCUUCGGACCUUGCGCGAUUGAAUGAGCCGAUGUCGGAUUAGCUAGUUGGCGGGGUAAAGGCCCACCAAGGCGACGAUCCGUAGCUGGUCUGAGAGGAUGAUCAGCCACACUGGAACUGAGACACGGUCCAGACUCCUACGGGAGGCAGCAGUGGGGAAUAUUGGACAAUGGGCGCAAGCCUGAUCCAGCCAUACCGCGUGGGUGAAGAAGGCCUUCGGGUUGUAAAGCCCUUUUGUUGGGAAAGAAAAGCAGCAGGUUAAUACCCCGCUGUUCUGACGGUACCCAAAGAAUAAGCACCGGCUAACUUCGUG
rnacentral:rRNA from 1 species